ACUGCUUGCCUCUGAGAUUAACAUUUGAGUCAGUGGGCUGGGGAAGGCAGACCGACCCUUAUCUGGUGGGCACAAUAUAAUCAGCUGUCAGCAAAUAUAAACAGGCAGAAAAACGUGAAGUGGCGAGACUGGCCUAGACUCUCAGCCUACAUUUUUCUCCCGUGCUGGAAGUUUCCUGCCCGCAAACACUGGACUCCAAUUUCUUCAGUUUUGAGACUCAGGCUGUCUCUCCUUUCUCCUCAGUCUUGCAGACAGUCCUAUUUUGGAACCUUGUGAUCAUGGAAGUUAAUACAUAAUAAACUUCCUUUGAUAUAUAUAU